rnacentral:rRNA from 1 species
UACGGAGGGUGCGAGCGUUGUCCGGAAUCAUUGGGCGUAAAGGGCGCGUAGGUGGCCCGGUCAGUUCGUGGUGAAAGCGCGGGGCUCAACCCUGCGUCGGCCAUGAAUACUGCCGCGGCUGGAGCACUGUAGAGGCAGGCGGAAUUCCGGGUGUAGCGGUGGAAUGCGUAGAGAUCCGGAAGAACACCGGUGGCGAAGGCGGCCUGCUGGGCAGUGCUGGACACUGAGGCGCGACAGCGUGGGGAGCAACAG